GCUGUGUUCAGGGAGGAACCUCCAUCAUGUCGGACACUGACUGACUGAUUAACAGACAGUCUCACCUGGCACAGUGAUUCAUCAUCUGAUCCUACUAAUGAGAUGUAUAACAUAUUUUUCUAUAUUUUCAGGGAAUCUAACAAAGAUAACAAAUAUCACCAGGCUGACUGUGGUGGUCCUGAUGCUGAUUCCUCUGCUUCUCCUGAGUCUCUGGGCAAGGAAGAAGAAAACUCUGAGCUCCCCCGCUAGAUCACAAAAACCUGUAGAGAUAGAGUUAGACUCUUGUCCUGUGUAUGAGAACAUCUCAGACCCUGCAGCUCAGACAGAAGACCCAGAGGAGCAGGAAGACCUGGUGUGAAGUCCAGUCAGAUGCAGUUGGACCAGAGGCGGGACUCACCUGAUGGAAACAAAGCAGUACGACAUUGAAACAUCCCUGUGGAGAGCGAGGCUGUGGAGGAUGCGGGGAAUGUGGAUACAUUUACCUUCAACUCCAGAAGGUUUUAUGGUCAGUUUUGAGCAGCAGCAGCAGGUAGGAGUCAGCAGCAGCAUGGAGCAGAACCUUUAGAAGAACGUGGUGCUGGCAGCUUAAACUGGACCAUGUCCAGGUGUCAAACAGGAUUUAUUGUUCAGAUCAGCUGAUGCUCAGGUGCUGUCUGACUUACUGAUGUAUAUGCAAGCUUAUUUUCUACUGAAGAGUUAGUUUUAGGCCAUGUUGUGCUUAGGAAGGAUGCACUUGAUUUAGCGCUGAAAAUUUGAUUUUGUAUGUGUAUCUUA